rnacentral:rRNA from 1 species
GACAGAGGUGCCGAGCCUUAGGCGGAAUCACUGGGCUUAAAGCGUGUGUAGGCGGACUUCUAAGUACCUUGAAAUCCCACGGCUUAACCGUGGAACUGCUUGGUAUACUGGUCGUCUUGAGCCAUCUAGGGGCUGUCGGAACAAAUGGUGGAGCGGUGAAAUGCGUAGAUAUCAUUUGGAACGCCAAAGGUGAAAACAGACAGCUGGGGAUGUGCUGACGCUGAGACACGAAAGCCAGGGGAGCGAACGGG